AAUAAAAUAAACUAAAAAAUAAAGCAAUAAAAAAGGUAAAAGAAAUAAUAAAAGGGAGGGGGAACACUAUCAACGCAAGAGGUAAAAGAAUUAUAAAAAAAUAAAAGAAAGAACAAAAAUAAAUAAAUAAAGCAAUAAUAAGAAAAGAAUAAAUAAUAAAUAUAUACAAAAAACAAAAAUAGGCUAAAAAUUGAGGGUGUAGUUAGAAAAAUACUUUAGACCCAAAGAAGGGAGUCCCACAAGGGUGCAUUGAGCAAUUAGGAGGUCUAAGGGAGACU
rnacentral:lncRNA from 1 species